GCUAGGCAUGGUGGUGCAUGCCUGUAAUCCCAGCUACUUGGGAGGCUGAGGCAGAAGAAUUGCUUGAACUCAGGAGGUGGAGGCUGCAGUGACCUGACAUCGUACCACUGCACUCCAGCCUGGGUGACACAGUGAGAUUCUAUCUCAA
rnacentral:SRP_RNA from 2 species